AAAACAACUGUGAUUCUCUCAGUCAGCGGUGAGCGAAGAGGGAUCUAACUCGUUGCCGAAUCGGGUCCGACAGGCCUUGACUUGUGGCACGUACGUCACUCCGUGUGGAAGGUGCAGGAAUGGUGAAAUUCAAGCGCAAAGCAAGCCCGUUGCUGAAUACAACCCUUCAUGUGAGUAUUGAGCCAGAGGAGGUGUUAGCCCCGUGUUCCGCCCACACAGCCUGAGCGCCUCAUGGAAGUCGCGCCAAGAGAGUAGCACUGUUUGGGAAUGCAGUGUCAAGCUGGCAGGUAUUUGUCUGCCAAGGGUUAAAUACAGAGUGGGAAGACCGAUAGCGAACAGUAGCGUGAGCGAAAGUUUGAAAAGCACUUUGGAAAGAGAGUGAAAUGAACCUGAAGUCGUGACAAUGACAAUGGAAGUACCUCCAUUC
rnacentral:rRNA from 1 species